ACAGACUUGUUCCAUUAAAUCAGAAUUCAUUAUAAAUGGCUUCAUUAUAAAACAUUAUCAGUCUCAGUCCUUGUUGUGGCCUAUAUGUCUGUGCUAUUGACUUUUCCUUUUUUUAAACAAAUAGUUGUAAAACUUAGGGAAACUCAUUUAAACCCAGCCUGUGGUACAACUGUCAAGCCUCCCUUGUGAAGUCACUUAUCAGAUGUUACGUAGUAAGAGGCAGUUGUCUGCAGACUGAAAUUAGAACUUAGACAGCAUUCCACCCUGUGAUUCUGUUUCCUUCAUUGUGUAAAGUUUUUUUUUAAGUUUUAGACUUUGGGAUAGCACCCCAAGAACCAUUUUUUAUUGGUUCCCAAGAAACAGUCAUAUUGGGGCUACCUUUAAAAAUGAACCAUUAAAAUAAAGAAGUAAUUAAUAUCAAUUCAGUAUCUCUAGAUCUUUGAAUGUACAGUUUCUAAGGGGUUUUCACUCAGAACAGCUGUAGCAUAGUCCGACAUCUGGUUUCAAAUGUUUCUAUUUUGUCUCUAGACAUGGCAGUUGUUCUGGUGUCUUGGGAGAAGAGCCAGUUCUAUGAAAACAUUACCCAAUCGUUGAGUCACAGAGCAUGAAUACUUUGAGGUGGUAGGACCAGACACUGGCCACUACUAUAAACACACCUCCCACCUCCCCAUAGCCACUGCAGAGUACCAUGAUUCUCUAAUAUGCAUCAGACGAAGUGGGAAAGAAGGAAUCUGGAGCAAUGGUGUCUUGAAACUGUCAGAUUCAGUUAGAAUUUUAACAGAAAUAUACUGUGCUACUGCCAUAGUAGAGAAAAGACCUUUCUCUUGCGCAGCCCCAUGCUCAGGGUGUCGCUAAACCUUCAAUUCCCAGAAGUUGGGGCUGGAUGAUGAGGAUGGAUCAUUCAAAAUUUCCGUUUUGUUCAUCCCCUCUGAAGCGUCUGGCACACUGUCAGAAGACAAGAUGCUGAGCUAGAUGGACCAUGUUGGUCUGACCCAGUAUUACCAUUAUUAUGUUCUGAUUCCAUUGCAGCAGCUAAAUUCCAUCUUGCAGCAUUUUUCCAAAUAGCAAAUCACUUUCAGUCCUAGCUGCCUCACAGCUGAAUGACUACUUGCAGAGGAUUACUUUCAUACAGUCUUUAACACCACCACUGAAUUCAAGACAGAAAACACACUACAGUAUUUGGCACAUCACUGGGGCAGGACACUCUAAAAUGCACUGAAAGUUAAGUAACCAUCUAUGAUUCAGUUCCAUGCCUAUUGUAUCCAGUGAAAUGUGGCCAUGAGUAUCUAGAGUAGGACUUCUGACAGAUUGUCAAUACCAUUUUUGUAAAGGAAAACCUGCCAUAGUUUGGCCAAUUCAAGAAACCAUCUUUGGCCCCAUCAGCCCUUGCAGUCUAUGGUCUAAUGUAAAAUCUCCCGUUUUUAGGGAAGAUAAUCCUAGCUGCUUCCUAAUACAACCAGUAUUUUAGUCUUUUUACCGUUGGAGUUCUGGCCAGGCCAUGGGACAGACAGUGGAUGGCCACCUCCUGCCCCUGGAUAAGGGAAGGACAUCCAUAUUCGUCCUCUGGGACCUGUCUGCAAUAUUUCAUUCUGAGACCAUGGCAUGUUACUGUCUUCUCUGAGAUGCAGCACUUGUUGGCAGGUGAGUUCUGAAAUGGGCCCAGUCUUUAUUUUCUGGAUGCUUACAGAAACUGGACAGCUACUUCUCUGUCUCCGGAGCGCUCACCUGUGGAGUCAAACAAGGAUGAUUUUUCCCCAUUCUUUUUAAUAUGCACAUGAAUAUGUUGUAUGAAAUUCUAAGAUGCUCUGGUCUCAUUACAAGCAUGAUGCAGAUGAUACCCGGCUGUAUAUCAUUUUUACUUCCAAUGCAAAAAUCGCCCAGACCCAACUAAUAUCGCUGCCUGGUCAAGGUACACAUUUGGAUGAAAAGCAUAUAGCAGAAGCUGAACCGUACUUUGAAGACAUAGCAAUUACCUCAAACAAAUCAGGUGCUGCAUGCUGAAAACUUGAUUAUUUAAGAGAAAAUAAAUUACUUGAAACAUUUGUAGAGAAGUAAUGCCAUAAUACCUAACCUCCAGGCAGCUAGGAGGGACAGCGCAGAUU